rnacentral:lncRNA from 1 species
CCCCACACCCCAUCUGUAGAUCAGGCUGGCCUCGAACUCAGAAAUCCGCCUGCCUCUGCCUCCCAAGUGCUGAGAUUAAAGGCAUGCACCACCACCGCCCGGCUGUUACUUCCUUCUUGAUCCCAGACUUUCCCACCAGCAACAGAGACAGGCAGGAAAAGAGCACCUGGGAGAAGCUUUCCUACUGCCGAUGCCACAGCAGCACAAGACCGUGUUUCCCGGCAGCCCGCUUAUCUGGCCAAAGACGGUUUCCUCCUCACACAAUCACAGAGGACCUGUGUGCAAGUGAAAGUAUUGUUUCUGCGCGGCCCAUGGCAUGCCGUCUUUCCCACCGGUUACAGUUCCUCUGCUAGACAAACAGGAAUGUUCUGCUCUGGACUAGGUGAAACUGACUAGCUGCUUCUGUCAGAGCAUUUAAUUGUAUCAAUCAGAAUGGAUAGAACACAUCACCACGAUUCCUCCAAAGAUGGAUUCAAGUCCCCUCAAACCAGGAGCCAACAUUAAGUCCUUCAUUGACUUCGUCAGUUUUUCUGCUGCAAUGAUAAGAAGAAUAGCUAACACCAUGGGAAGGCGAUUCUCCGAAGCUCACGGAAUCUGGGGAUUCACUCAUCGUCGUAUAAACACACCAUGUGGGUUAAAACGAGGACAAAUCCAGAUACUCACCAUUAGGGAAUGUCAAUGCAUUUCAACUGCUUGGCCCCACAAGGUCAAAACACAGCCACAGUGUCUUCUCACAAUCCUCCAGGCUCUUCCCAGAUUACAGAGAGUGAUCUGGUCCUAUUCAAGAGGACAGAGUAUCCACCAGGCUCUGUCAAAGCUGCUCAGCAAAGACCAGAUAACCUCAGUUUGCUGUGAAGGAUAGCAGGGGUUGCUCCCGGGGUACCUGGUCCUCCUGUGUGAAAUGGGUAUGUGCUCUUUAUCCUCACAGCCAGGAAACUGGACUAACAACAGUGCAUAAAACUAUUUGUUUUGUUCUGUCUUUAGAAAUCAUUUUAGGGUUUUACAGACUGGGGAGCAAACAAUCAAUGCUGAAUAUUGAAUAAUCCCCUUGUCAUCACGAGUAACAGUCAUCCAAGGUUUUUAAAGCCCUUUCAUUUUGAAACACUCAGACGUCUCCUAGCUCGACCCUCCUCUGCCUUUACCUCUCUGCAGGAGACAGGCAAGCCUCUCUGCCAUGCUGAUUUGACCAGCAGCAAUGUGAUGUGAGCAUUGAGCAGUGUCACAAUGCGCCCAUCCGAGGGCUGUGGGAAUGUGGGCCAUUUGAGAGCUGGCAGCAGCAUAGUCUUGGUCAUGAAACCUUCCCAAGUAAAACAUUAAUUAACAUGAAGUGGGGUGUGACACCUCCCAUCUCAAGAUGGACUUCAAGAUGUCCAGUAUCUGUUUUAGCUGCCCAUCAAGUGGCUAAACCCCUCAGGACUAAGUAUUGGUCCAUUAAGAACUAUUUGUUAGGCUCCCUCCGGCUUGUAGACCUGCUGCCCUACUCCUCACCUGUCUAUGUGUUUGAGCUGAGCAUCACCAUAGCCAAAGCCCCUUGGCAGGGGAGCUUUCAGGUCUUAGUGAACAGGAAACAAGGAAAGAGGUAAUGCCAGAAGCACUUAGCAUAAGACCUAGCAACAGGCUCCAUUGACUGACUUCUUCCAUGAAGGCCCCAACCCCUAGCUUUCAUCACCUCUUUAAAAUGCCUUCAUAUUAGAAAUCCACCAAGGAAUUAACACAUAGGUCACAGACCUUAUGGUCAAAUUAUCUCUAGAAAUGACACUGCAGAUAUACUCGAAGGUGUGUUUCUCAAAUCUUGUAGGCCUUCCUUAAUCCAUCCAAGGUGACAGUCACAAUUAACCAUCGAAGAUCCACCACUCGUCAACCUGGCACCUGAACACAUCACUUUAAACCCUACAAUUCCCCCCUGGAGCCUCAAACAGGGACACAACCACGCCACACAACAUUCAGUGCUUACAUAAAAGUCCACCAAAGUCUUAACAUUCCCAACACUAUUCACAAGCCAAGGCUCAAAACCUUUAUGACUUGAGGCAAACUCUUAGCUAUGAGACACUAAAAUUUCAAAACUAAAACCAAGGGCUGGAGAGAUGGCUCUGUAGUUAAGAGCUGAGCUGCCCUUCCAGAGGACUGGGAUCAAUCCCAAACACCCCUGUGCCUGCACACAAUCAUGCAUAACUCCAGCUAGCCAGUCUGACUCCCUGUUCUGAGGUCUGAGGGUAUUAGAUACAUGAGUGCUGCAUUGGUGGUCCUGGGUUCUAUAAGAAAGCAGACUGAGCAACCCAGUAAGCAGCACCCCACAUGGCUUCUGCAUCAGCUCCUGCCUACAGGUUCCUGCCCUGCCUGAGUUCCUGUCCUGGCUUUCUUGAGUGAUGGACUACAGUGUUGACGCGUAAGCCAAAUGAUCCUUUUUUUUUCUCCCCAGCUUGCUUUCUAGUCAUGCAACAUGUUUCAGUGCAACAAUAGAAACCCUAAGUAAGAUGAGUUGGUACCAGGAUUGUGGGUAUUGCUAUCACAGACCUGACCAUGUUGUUUGAGGGAGGAUUGUGGAAGGACUUUGGAACUUUGGGCUAGAAAAGCCAUUGAGUGUUGAGAGCUCAGUGGGAUGUUCUGUGGGUGCUUGGAAGGUAAGAGUGUUGAAAGCAAUGCAGACAACGGAGGCCUGGCUUGGGAAGUUUCAGAGAGAAGCAAAGACUCUACCAGGCCACUUGUGUGAGGAAUCUGUGUUGUCUGGUCAGCUGGGGCUGAAGAAUCAGCUGUGAUUAAGAAAUCAGCGUCACCGAGGUGAAAUCUUCUGGGAAGUGUUUUUUCAGGGUCAGCACACAGAAGUUGUGUUCCACAGAUGGCCAGUGUUGUAUCUUGCACUGGCAGACAAACUUCAUAGUAUAAAAAUCACCCAGGCAGACUCGUUUUGAAGGCAUGAAGGGGUCCUAGAAAGCAGCUAAGGCUUGACAUCGUGAGAGGCCAAGAAAGGACAUUGGUGACGGUGCAGCUGUAGUAGUAAUUGAACCCCCAGGGUUAAAGGAGCCAUGCUGAGAAAUUGAGGCCUUGUACCAUGAAGAGAGCCAGGACAGGCUCCUGUCGAGUGCAGCCCAGUUGCAGCAGAAGGCCCCAGUAUUCUGAAGAUGCCAGUACCAUGGGAUGACCACCAAGACAAUAGCACUGUGGAGUGGUGCCAGCCUGAGCCUAGAAGACAAGCUGUGUGGAAAGACAGCAGGGUCAGAGGAGCGACCCAAGCCCUCUGGCGGAGCCCAGGUGAUGCUGAGUGAAUCCCAGAUAAUUGCACAGCGAGUUAGCCCAUACUUCUGAGGUUUGAUUUUGUUUUACUCAGAUUUUGACCAUGCUCUGGUUCUUCCCUCUUGAAGUAAAAAAGUAUUUAUUUUUGAUUUUAUAGGAUCCCACAAUUGAGCGACUGAAUUAAAAAAAAAAAGAUUUUAGGUUAAAGGGGACUUUAGAUUUUUAAAAAGGCUGGAUUUUAAAAUGUAUGAGUUUGUAAAGACUUUUAAAAUUCAUAAACUAUUUCCUAGUGGGAUGUUGAUAUUCAUGUACGAUCUUCAGGAUGAACAAAAAAGGAAAAGUUGUGACUUAACAGUGUCAUGCUAGUGUGUCAAGUUGACAAGGAGUCAGUUGUUCAGCUAGCUUUAUGCCAACUUGACACAAGGUACAGUCAUCUGAGAGGAGGGAACCUUAAUUGAGAAAAUGUUUCCAUAAGAUCCAGCUAUUUUCGUCGGUCGUGGUGGCACACGCCUUUAGUCCCAGCACUUGGGAGGCAGAGGCAGACAGAUUUCUGAGUUCGAGGCCAGCCUGGUCUAUAAAGUGAGUUCCAGGACAGCCAGAGCUAUACAGAGAAACCCUGUCUCGAAAAACAAAACAAAAAACAAAACAAAAAAAGAUGUAGUUAUUUUCUUAAUUAGUGAUUGAUGGGGAGGUUCCAGCCCAUUGUGGGUGGUGCUGUCACUGGGCUGUGACCCGGGGUUCUAUAAGAAAGCAAGCUGAGCAAGCCAUAGGGAACAAGCCAGUAAGCAGCACUCUCCAUGACCUCUGCAUCAGCUCUGGCCUCCCAGGUUCCUUCUCUGUUUAAGUUUCUGUCCUUGCUUCCUUCAGUGAUGGACUACAAUGUGGAAGUGUGAGCUGAAUAAACCCUUUCCUCGCCCAACUUGCUUUUGAUCAUGGCAUUUUGCUGCAGCAAUAGAAACUCUAAGAAACCUAUGGAGGGUUUGAACCUUGUGACAUUCCUGUCUCAGCUUCCUGAGUUGUUGGGGUUCCAGAGGGAGCGAUCAGGCAAGGAGGAAAGUCUUUGCUUUCCAUAGCCUUCUGAGCACCCAGUUAAGAUCACCAACAGCAUGUACAUUUUAAGAUGUAGCUCGGUUGGUGGAGUACUUGUCUAGUAUGUGCAUAGUCCUGGCUGCUGUUCUCAGUACUGCACAAGUCUGGUGUGCUCAUGCACACCUGUCUGCAGUCUCAGCCUUGGAAGUGGGGAGGGGGAGGAUCAGAAGACCACGGUCAUCCUGGGCAUCCAUCAGCACAUCACAUAGUAAGUUCGAGGACUACGUGCGGCACUGUGCUCUACAUCCUGUCCGUUGCUAUGGUAAAACACUGACUAAAACAUCAACUUAGGCAAGGAGAGGGUUUCUUUGGCUUAUCAAUCCAGGCCACAAUUCAUCAUUGAGGGAAACCAGGGCAGGAGUGCAGAGGCUGAAACUAUUUAGGGCCCCUACUCACUCAUUCUCACUACUCACCCACUUACGCUUAGCAAACUUUCUCACCUGCCUAGGGAUGGUGCUGCCUAUAGUGGGCAGCGCCCUCCCAGGUCAAUUCCUAAUCAAGACACAGUUCCCAGAAGGCAUGGCCACAGGCCAGUCUGAUGGAGACCAUUCCUCAGCUGAGGCUUCUUCUCUUAGAUGAAUGUAGGCUGUCUGAAGUCAACAAGUCCAAUUAGGACACCCUGUCUCAAAAACAAAGCAAAAAAACCGUAUGUUGAGCACUGAAAGGUACAUAACAUCUUAGCAUGGGCCAACAGCGGAUGUUACUUCCCUCUUAACAUCCAGAUUACAGUCACUUUUCAGAAUGGUUUUUGUUUUUUAAAAACACGUAUGUUACAAAGAGGAGAGAGAGACACAGGAGAGCAAGCUUCCUCGCUAGCUGAUGUGGUUGCACCACUGGCUCUGCCCUUGGUAGCAGUAAAGGUCACCUGGGCAAAGUGACAUCACAAGCUGUGCCUCAGCCUCCCUGUCUAUGAAGUAGAAAUGGUGACAUGAAGUAACACAUCAACAAUGCUGAGUCCCAGCAAGGAUCGGGGUGAAGGAUCACCCAUAGCCAUUGGCAUCGCCACAACAAAGCAGCAGCCUACUUUAUAAACCUCCCUGGGGUUGGACCAUCUGUCUGUCGGUUUCCUCAGAAGUUUUGUUAUAGAAAGAGUAAUUCAGUGUCUGGCUUAAUCAAUGAGACUAAUAGUUCUGUGUGAAAUGGAAUCAGAUGGUGGAAUCAGCUGACUGUCCUGUGGUGUCACAAGCUGGAGAACGGUGGGAAGGUGGUAGAGACACUGAGAAGUCUCCAGUCUCUGACACAACAGACAAAGUGAUUCAUCUUCUUCGGGAUCUGGUCUUUUCUUUCUAAGUAUUCCUUUUGGAAACAAUCCCAACACAGAAAUAAACACACACCACCACCACUGCCAGUCUCAUGUUAACUGUACUUUUUUUUCAUUGGAAUUAACGUCUUUUCUUUUCUUUUUUUAAGAUUUAUUUUAUUAUGUGAGUACACUGUAGCUGUCUUCAGAUACGCCAGAAGAGGGCAUUGGAUCCUGUUACAGAUGGUUGUGAGCCACCAUGUAGUUGCUGGGAAUUGAACUCAGGACCUCUGAAAGAGCAGUCAAUGCUCUUAACCAACUGAGCCAUCUCACCAGCCCUAGAAUUAACUUUUAAAAUCGUUAUUCUGGAUAUAAAUUCAUGGUACCUGUUUGGGGCCAUGUUUUGUCUUUUUGGAAUUUUCUUUUCCUGUAUGGUACUGGAGAUUGACUAGAGUCUUGCAUAUGCUAGGCACAUGCUGUACUAUCAAUGUACUGUAUUACUGUUAUUAAUAACCAUGAAUAUGCUAUUUAUAUCCUAUUUUAAAUUAUUUUAUUUUUUCUGUGUAUGUGCCCAAGUGCAUGUCUGUGUACCAUUUGCAUGGCUGAGGCCCACAGAAGCCAGAGAGAGGGCAUCAGACCCUCUGAAACUAGAGUUAAGAUCAUUGUGAGCCAUCAUGUGGGUGUUGGGAACCGAACCCAGGACCUCUGUAAGAGCAGCAACUGCUCUGACCCUCACCCUUGGAGCCAUCCUUGAUCCUCUUCCUUCCCUUUGUGAGUAAGAUUGCAGUAAGCUGCACAGGCUAACCUAGAACUCACUCUGCAACCCGGGCCAGCCCCGACUGUGUAAACUUCCUACACCAGUUUUCUGAGCAGCUGAGAUCCUGAUGCUGUGCUUCCAGGGCAGACAUGAUGACUUUCCCUUCAAAUCUUGUGACUGGAAUCUUUCAUUGCCAAUUGCUAUCUACUAAAUUUUGCUCAGAAACAAGGAUGGAGGGCUACAGAUGAAGCAGCUGGCCUGGAAAAGCAUUAAUAGGAGAGGCUAUUCGUGGCAGGAAUGGCUAAAGAGGGGAAUGCUAUGGCACCCUGACUGCCAUGGUUUGAAUAUGCUCUGCCCCAGGGAAUGGCACUAUCUGGGGCUGUGGCCUAUUGGAGUAGGGGUGACCUUGUUGAAAUAGGUGUGUCACUGUGUGUGUGGGCUUUAAGACCCUUAUCCUAGCUGCCUGGAAGUCAGUAUUCUGCUAGCAGCCUUCAGAUAAAGAAGUAGAACUCUCAGCUUCUCCUACACCAUUACCUGCCUGGAUGCUGCCAUGUUCCUACCUUGAUGAUAAUGGACUGACCCUCCUCUGAACCUGUAAGCCAGCUCCAAUUAAAUGUUAUCCUUAUAAGACUUGCCUUGGUCAUGGUGUCUGUUCACAGCAGUAAAACCCUAAGACACUAUCGAUGCCUGGCCACUCAGGAGGAACACAGGUACUGACAUAAUGUGAAGAGCCCAAGAUUCCGCUGGCCUUGCAAGGUGGAAACUGCCUGCCACACUCUCUUGGAUGCUGUAGGAAGCAGGAGAACCCUGAGUCAAAGUGAAAAGAAAUGUCCCUAUGGACAGCCACUGCAGCACCCAAGGAACCGACUGUCCUAUUUCUCUUAGCUCCCGAGGCCCCAGAGAAGCAGUUCUCAACCUGUGGGUUGCAUCUCCUUUGGGUGUCAAACAGCCCUGUCCCAGGAGUCAUCUAAGACCAUCAGAAGACACAGAUACUUACAUGAUGAUUCAUAACAGUAGUAAAAUUACAGUUAUGAAGUAGCAAUGAAAAUAAUUUUACAGUUGGGGUUCACCACAACAUGAGUGACUGUACCUAAGGGUGGCCUGUGUCAGGAAUGCUGAGAACCAGUGCUGCAGAGAGAUGAAAAGGGAGAGCCAUGAAGCACAUUACAUUCAGUGGGUGCCUUAUAAGAGCAGAACCCUUGGGAGUUAAGAGAUGGCCCAGCACUUAAGAGCCCUGGGCGCUCUUACAGGAAACCCAGGUCCCAUUUCUAAAUCAACCACACAAUGGCUCAGAACUAUUGGUGACUCCAGUUCUUGUGGAAUCUAACACCUUCUGGGCUCCUUGGACACACACAUGGUGCAUAGACACACAGGCAAAACACCCACACACACUAAAUAAGUCAGACACACACACACACACACACACACACACCCUGGAAAAGUUUCCUGUCUUUUACUCAGUCCAGAAACACUAUAUACAUUGGUUUGGAU